CUGAAGACAGAUGUAGUAACUCACCCUACCCUUCCAGACCUACAAAGGAUGGGCUUGAACUUGGGCCCAGUCUCAGCCUUUGAGCAUCCAGCAGAAAGCCAUGCACAGAGAUUCUCAUUGCAUUCUUGUUAAAUGAAUGAAUGAUUUGAAGACAGCAUCAUGGGGUAGCCAUUGAACCACCAACAGUCCUCAUUGAGCACAUCUUUUAUCAGCAAUCUUGAAUGCUAGACUGCACUUCUAAGCCUCAGAAGCAAGUAAGCUUGGGCAAGCUGAAGAACACGACAGAGAUGUCCUGCGACAUCCAUCAAGAAGCAAGGGGCUGGUGAAAAUUAUGCUGCAUUCCCAUACUUGCUCUGUGAGGACUCCUCAAAAAUUCUUUUUGCAAGUCGAGUAGAAGAUCUUGGUACAUCAUGAUGGUAGCUGAAUGGAAGUAACUUGUAGCUGGUAGCCAGCAGAGCCUAGUACCAAUCUCCAUUCAUAACUGUGAGCAGAAUUUGUCAGGGUGUAAUGCCCAAGAGUCCCCAUCCCUCACUUGGGGAUGGUGGCCUUUGAAGAAAAUUACUUCAUUUGUAAAGAAGCUCUGACUUUUUAGAAGUAUUAAUACAGUCAAUAAAAUCCCACAUUUU